AUUGAACGCUGGCGGCAUGCCUUACACAUGCAAGUCGAACGGCAGCGCGGGAGCAAUCCUGGCGGCGAGUGGCGAACGGGUGAGUAAUAUAUCGGAACGUGCCCAGUAGUGGGGGAUAGCCCGGCGAAAGCCGGAUUAAUACCGCAUACGACCUGAGGGUGAAAGCGGGGAUCGCAAGACCUCGCGCUAUUGGAGCGGCCGAUAUCAGAUUAGCUAGUUGGUGGGGUAAAGGCCUACCAAGGCAACGAUCUGUAGUUGGUCUGAGAGGACGACCAGCCACACUGGGACUGAGACACGGUCCAGACUCCUACGGGAGGCAGCAGUAGGGAAUAUUGGACAAUGGGCGCAAGCCUGAUCCAGCCAUGCCGCGUGAGUGAAGAAGGCCCUCGGGUUGUAAAGCUCUUUUGUCCGGAAGAAAGCACUGGGUUAAUACCCCGGUGUCCUGACGGUA
rnacentral:rRNA from 1 species